rnacentral:rRNA from 1 species
AUGCAUUCUGCUCCAGAUGUUUAUUUUCAAUCCUACCGAGUGGAGCAAAAGUAUGGUGAUGGAGCUCCCAAUAAUGAUGCUCACAACAGAGUUUACAUGAACCUGCCCAAAAAGCAUCAUGUGCUUAGAAAAGUUACUGAUUGCCGCCAUUGUGGAGCUUUGCGAUUUCAAUACGAGGGGCCUGCAUUCUGCUGCAGAAAGGGAAAAGUGGAUGUAUUUACUCCAGAUGUUUGUGAGGAGUUGAAACGGUUGUUUACAAGUCAAGAUGAUGGGGAUGCUAGAUAUUUCAGAGAAAAUAUACGGUAUUUCAACUCCCACUUCUCAUUCACAAGUCUGGGAGUCACCCUUGAUCGCCGAGUCAGCACCGCAGCAGGAACCGACGUAUAUACAUUUCGUGCGUGUGGAGGGUUGUACCACGCUCUUGAUGAUCUCGAGUCUGGUGAUAAUGGCCCUCGACAUUUGCAGCUAUAUAUUUAUGAUACAGAUGAAAACUUGUUUCACAGGGUUAAGAGGUCUCCAAAUCUUAGGUUAGAUCUCAUACGGAAGAUUCUGGCAAUACUAGAGCAUAACCCUUAUGCUCAAGUAUUUAAAAGCCUUGGUGUUGUUCCAAAUCUAGAUGAAUACAGGAUCUCAUUAAAUACCGAUAUCAAGCUUGAUCAAUGA